UCAGUGUUAACACAAGAGCUCUAUAGGAUAGAGGGUAUUGCCCCCACUUUUUAGAGGAGGAGGUAAAGCUAUGGAAGAUGACUCCUCUGGGGCCCACAGUGAGGUAUGUAGGAUCGUGGUCAUAACCUAUCCCCAAUCCCCAGUCUUCCUUACAAUUGUGCUGUGCUGUUACAGAGUCCUGGAACAAGGAUUGAAGUGACAUUGCAGCUUGACCACUGAAACAGCUUGCAAACUCCGGUUCUUGUGAUUUGAGGCCAAGGACUCCAAGAUGGGGUGAUGAGGAGAAGGGGAGAGCCAGAUCUUAGCCUUGCCAUUUGGAAAAGGGCUUGCUAUUCAUCCUUUUGGAUCCUGCAAUUCAUCAUCUUGAGUGGAUUUGUUGCAAAAGCACGAUCACGACCAAUCUGACAUCUACAAUGGCAUCGUUUCCUGUGGGGUCCCUGAUCUGCCAGUAGGGGAUUCUCUGAAGCAAUUAGACAGAAGCAUCGCACAAGCUCAUAGGCAUAACAUGGCCAUCGGGCAAGGACAGCACCUUCAAAUGAAUGCAGGAGAGUAGCAUAUGGAUGGAGAAGAUGCACUGUGCGUUCUUGCAGGCAACUUUUCCACUGUGUCUCCCCCUUCAGCCAACACAGGCCUGGAACAAAACAGAAUCUGGAAAGUAGACAUUGCACUGAAUCUCAUGUAGCUUCGGAUUGUGCUUGAGCUUAUCUAAGGUGGAGGUUCGGGGAACAGGGAGGAGCUGUAUAAUAACAUUUGGAACAUUCUUCCUAAGAUCCAUGGCUCCACUUUGACUUAUUCAACAUUAAGAGGAAUAAAGUCCAGAUUGCUUCUGCUGUGUUCCCAAGGCUCACGAAAGCCAGACACUAGACUCCCGUUGGAUCUAAAAGGAAACUCCUGAAUAAAUCCACAAUGUUACUGGGAAAACGUCUUGAAGGGCCAGUGUUUCUGAUUUCUCAGGUCCUGAGAGGCAGUCAUGGCUGACAAGAUACAAAUGUUUACAAUCCGAGGGCUCAUCUUACAGUUUAGAGAAGGGGAAUCAGCGACUUAGAAGCCACGAAUGAAGAGUCAAGAUGCAUAGUCAUCAGGCACUGGGUGUUAUGGGAGAAAAGGAUAUGGGAUGGUGAGGACACACCGGGUGACACUGAGCAAAGCCCUGAAGGGAGCUGUAUGGGCAGAAGCUUUGGGAUCAUCCCAGGGCCUCCUGAGCUGCUCAAACUGUAUCCCAGGCAUGAGGGCAAACGAAAACAAGAAGGGUGGAGAAGCAACAGCAACCACAUUACCCCGUCCGUCCUCGUCCUCCUUGCCAUCUGGUGGGCCCUGGAAACCAUCGAUAUAUUUAGUUACUAUGUUUACACAGGAGGCAGGACCCACAGUGUUUGCUCCAGACUCCCCCAGGGUUGCCAGGAUGGUCUCUACUUCCCUGGGAUCCUAAGGACGACUCCCAACCCCUGUACACGCCCAUGGGCUAAAGAUCUACCCAGUCCUGGGGUUCUAGAAACUUCUUAGACUGUCCAAAUUGGAGGGAUGUUUAGGCUACCUUAGACCUCAUCUAGCUUUUGCCUGGGGCCUGGGUGUCCAUUUGGGAAGGACGACUUGAGAACACGUUGCCUAAGCCAGGAAGGGCUUAGGAUCGUCCAGCCACACAAGCUGCCAGGUUGAAGACAGUGGAUGGCUGAAUCAUGAACAUUAACCAUGGAGCCUGGACCAUGGCAGCAGCUCACUGGACACAGACUAUUAAUAACCAUGGCUACAUCUCUGUUUCAGAUAUGGAACAUAUGUGCCUGCUCAGAAAGUGGGUUGUAUGUCAUGGGUUUCCCCAUGGGAUUCCCCACCUCAUUUUUUUUUUUUUUGAGUGGAAAAGCGGAAGGUUAUAAAGGUUCAUUACUUCACAUCUGACUGGGACAGUUAAUAAAGGAUGAGCAGAAUUUGAAGGUGGCUUCUUCAUCUCUACCCAAUCCUGGGGGACAAAGUCAUGGAUAAACUGU
rnacentral:lncRNA from 1 species